rnacentral:rRNA from 1 species
AUUGAACGCUGGCGGCAUGCCUUACACAUGCAAGUCGAACGGCAGCACGGGAGCUUGCUCCUGGUGGCGAGUGGCGAACGGGUGAGUAAUACAUCGGAACGUACCCUGAAUGGGGGAUAACGUAGCGAAAGUUACGCUAAUACCGCAUAUUCUGUGAGCAGGAAAGAGGGGGGAUCGCAAGACCUCUUGCUUUAGGAGCGGCCGAUGUCGGAUUAGCUAGUUGGUGAGGUAAAGGCUCACCAAGGCGACGAUCCGUAGCGGGUCUGAGAGGAUGAUCCGCACACUGGGACUGAGACACGGCCCAGACUCCUACGGGAGGCAGCAGUGGGGAAUUUUGGACAAUGGGCGCAAGCCUGAUCCAGCCAUGCCGCGUGAGUGAAGAAGG